GUCAGUUGGAGGACACAUGAUGGUGUAGUGAGGAGAUUAGAAAAGGUCUGAUAUAUAUCCGAUUUCAGAUGGAAUCUUAUCUCACUGAGCAGACUGGAUUUGAGAGGCUAUAAGAUGGUAGCUGGUGGAAGAAUCCUGAAGGUAUUGCAUGGUGAUAGGGUUAUUCUGGAGAAAAAGAAGAAGAUGAGAGGAUAUUACUACCUGAUAGGGAGCUUAAUGCAAGGUAGAGCUUCAAGAGCCAGAAAAAACCCAGAGCGAGGUGGAGCUCCAAGUGGAGG
rnacentral:lncRNA from 1 species